GGUGUUAGUGUUUAUUGUGUGAAGUGGUUUGUGGUAAAGCACAAGUCAGUUACUCUAGUGCUUCAAAAUGGCUUUUCUUUAAACACCUUUUUCUUGCCUCAUCUUCCUCUUUCCUGUACUUUGUGUUUUCCAAACCUUAAUUCUCCCUGAUCCAACUUAAUUACUUUUUACUUUUUUUUUACUGGUGUUUUCUAGUCAUGUAGUGGUGUUUGGGAUGUUUUUCUACAUUACACUAAACAAGUGUAUUAAUGUGGGGUUAGGCACUGCCAAUAUGGAAUAUUAGGAACAUAAAGAUUACUACUACUGUGAAGUAAAAUGCUUUGAGGUGAAAGAAUCUUAGACUGCAAACUGAACUAAUGUUGACUUUUGAUGUGUCAUGUAAAGUAGGCUUUAUAUUCACUUUAAAAUCUCAGUUCUGAUGAAUGGGAAGAGUAAAACAUAGAGAUAUGUUGCUUGGAGAAAUUAAGUGCUCUUGUUUCAGACAUGGCUCGUAGCUCUGGGUAGCUGUGGAUUUGGUGUGGAUUCUUUUUUGGACAUUGAGAGUUCAGUGUUUUCUGAUCCUAUUAAGACUUACCAAUGAUCUUUUUUUCCCUUAAAUCAGCAAUCUCAAAACACUAUUGAGUCUUAUAAAACUAAGCUAUUCAUAAUAUCAUGAUAAAGUAAUAAGAAGUGCACAAGCUCCUGGGGCCACGUUGAAGUCAGUACAUCCAUAUUCUGAAGAAUUCAGAGAUGGCAUUUUUCCAAUUUGGUUGCACAUAUUAAGAUGAGGGGGGGCGUGAAGUGGUCCUAAAUAAUUGUUACCUGCAAGUUUUGUGAGGAACUACUGCUAUUUCCAGUAAAUGAGGGGGAUUUGUUUGGUUUUCACUUCUCAUGCAAGCUGGUGCAGGUGAUUUGAAGAGCAUCUGUUCCUCGCGUGCUGAGGAAUGUGGCUGGAAGGUUUUACCUAACUUGAGUUCAGGCACUUACUAGUGCAAUGCAGUCUUGCAAAAAUUGAGUAAAAUUUGUAUCUAAAUCAAGCAAGUUUCCUGUUGCUGUUAGUAGAAGUCUGUUCUAGGACCAAAUCUUAGAAACUUACCUUUUCCCUGAUAAGCAACAUGCUCAGUGAAAAAGGGUGGUAUGGGGGAAUCCGACGGGGAAAGCUGCUGCUCCUGCUUCUCUUGCCUUACACCUUAGCCACUCUGUCCAGAGAGAAAAAAAGAACAGAAGGAUCAAUUACUCUUAUUUCUUUGCCCAAAAGUAGCUCUGUGAGGUGUCUGGUCUGCUGGCAGCCAACAGGCAGUUGGUGUGUGCGACAGCAAUGUCAGGGUUAGUUCACUGGUGGCAAAGGAGGUUGAGCCCCAGCGCUGGGACUCGGGAACUGGAAGAGCUGGGGUGAGGGUACAGAUGCUUCUGUAACAGGUUGGAAACUGAACUUGCAAAGUUUUGACAAGAUGAGUCUUGAAUCUCUUUAACAUGGAACGAAAAAGAGAAACUGCAACUUAAUCCACUCCUCUGUAAGUUACAACUUAAAAACAUUUCAAGCAACAUUUCUUUGAGACUAAACUGCUAGAAUUAGCUCUAUCGAUGGGUAUUCUCAAUACUCAAUACAUUUUAAAAUGUGAGCAACAAAUAUGUGACAUGUAAGUAAAGAUAAAUGUCCCCUUGCAGGCCAACUCCUCAUUAUAUAGCACAAAUAGCAUUCAGAGAUGGGUCAGUUACGUGCUGAGUUAACUUGCUGGUUCUGUUCACCUGUGCUCACUUGAAUCCCAGUUAAGCACAUGCCUGUUUUAGUGGAAAAGGUUUUUAGGAGUGCCUGUACUAAGUAAUGUUUGUGAGACAUUACAAACACUUAAGAACUAGAGAAAACCAAAGGGAUGUUAGAAUUCCUGAGAGUUCAAGAUAAACUUGAAAACAAAUGGGAGACACUGAAGAGUGUGUUUCUGGGCUAUGAUAUUUUUCCUAAAUCCCAAAGCAUUCUUAGAACCAAUGAAGGCAGUGAGCAGUUCUUGGUAUUGGGAAGGGUAAAGCAUCAAAAGAAUAGAGUUACCUGUCCUACCGGGAUACAUCUGGUUUUUACUUCCAUCCCGGUUAAAAGAUGAAGGGUACUGUUUGUUUAAAAAUUUUCUCUAUAUCUGCAUGAUGUUCUUUUUACAUCCAAGUGUGGCUUUAAUUGGGCUUCCCACUGUGAUCUCUGGCUCGUGUUCCUGAGUUUCUGUAGCUUAAUUUCACGUAGUGUGAAGUAGGAGAAAUACAAACUAUUUCCAAUGUGAUGUGCAUUGUCUUUGGUGAGAAGGAAUUUCACCUGCUUGUGUUCUGGUAGUUAAUGUAUAUUUGUAAAUUCUCUGUAGAGUAGAACAUACAUGCAUUUUUAAUUAAAAAAUUUCUAGUGGAUAUUACAUAUAGUAUUUAAUGACUGCUUAGCUAAAAAUAGGAUGUUAGGCCGUCUAGGAUUUAUAGAUACAGUGAGAAGUAAGUGGAUGGCAGGAGAAAGGAGAAAGGUUUGCUUCUGGUGCCUUAAUUAUAGAUGAUUGAAGAGAAGAAGAACCAAGCUUGGCUCUUAUAGAAAAAAACAUGCAAAGCUUCAUGCUAAGGUGUUUUAUUUUACUUACAAAUGGACUAUACUUAAGCCAGAAAAGAUUACUGUAGAAGUGCACUGCCACCUUUAUUUUUAAUUAUGUUUGCUACCAUUCUGUUAGUAAUGUGGCUGCCUUUUACAACAGGUAGCAUAAGUGUGAGGUUUGCUAAUUAUUUUAUAUAUUAAGAAAAUUCAGUGGUUUGUUUUCUGUAUUCUAGUUACUUUUCAUUCUAAGUGAUUUUUUUCUUCCUGUGCUACACCAGAGGGCAGCAAAUGCUGCUGCUGUUCAACCGGAGGCACAGAUCGUUAAUAGAAUGGCAUUCUAUCAUGCAAAUUUUCUCUGAAAAAAAUAGAUGGAUACUUCUAAAAAUUGCUAAAACUUUCCAAUAGUCAGAAAUACUUAACUUUUUUCAAUGUAAGGUUCAAAACAUCUAUUACACCUUUUAUUCACCAUGGGUGAAUAGAGCAGUAUGGGUAGCAUAGUUGGGAAAAAAAAAAGUCCAUUUUGAAGUGAUACAUGUGAAAUCAGAUUUUUUGAACAGGUCAAUUACAACAGCAUUUACUCAGGUUCAAGCAGGGCAUAAUUAACCCAUGUUUUCUCCUGCGGCACAGCUGACUUAGAAGUUCUUCAUAGUCUGAUGCCUCUUGCGUAAGGUUGGUAACAGUGCUUGUGGGGCUGCAGUGUAAAUCACAUUGCUGAAACUGUGUUAGAUUCAACUUGCAAAGUUAGGGUUUGUAACCAUCCUGCCAAGCCCCGAGGUUACGUUUAACGUCUGAUUUCUCUCAUCGCUUUUAUAGCUUGACCACACAUGGCACUGGCACAACCGAAUAGCGAACUGCUGUGGACAGGCUGAGAAUGACCAGGCUGGUGCAGGACUGUCUGAACUCUGUAGCAUUUGUAUUUUAUGUCCUGUUUGGUAUAAAUACUGAAAAAAACAAAUGUACAAUGCUGACGAAUGGAGAAUAGUAAAUGCUUGUGUUUUG
ensembl:lncRNA